UGAAUAUCAUGUCUCCCCUUUACCUUCGCUGGAGCAGUGAACCCAGUGGCAUUUCCGACUGAUUCGGUAUGCACACGGAGAAAAGCCCCGCGGCUAGCCAACGAUAAGGGUAGAGGGGAAAUUACUUGAGGAAAUCGCAGAUGAGUGAUGGGUUAUUUACAUGAAGUGCAUUCGUGAUUGAGAAACAGAUAACUGCCGAGUGUCGAGCCCGCGGAAGGUGUCUGCAACCCUGGGCUCUCUGCUGCACAGCUGUCGGUGUUUGGAGCAGCAAGGACCGGAGGAAGGAGCCUCGACUCUGGAAACAGACAACCACAAAAAGCAGAGGACGCGGUGGAGACAUCCUUCUACAGACCAGGAAAUGGCUUCCCUCUCUCUGGUUGGACUGUUCCGCAGAUCCGGCCGAACCAAUCAGACCCUCCAGAUCUGGCCCGGCGGAACGUUGGAGCUGAGUAUCUGAUUGGCCGAUGCUCUGAUGGUCUGAUUGUGCUGAAAGAGGACCAGUUGGUGAGAGUGCUGUAGACUAAGGGUUGGUUAUGGAUAUUGUUCAUCUCUCAUGUGAAUUGAAUUUAGUGGAAAAGCAACCUGUGGCUCUGAACUAUGGAUGAAAAGUGGAGAAAUAGAAAUCAUACUGCCUUGUCUUGGCCUCCAAGCUGAUGAUAAGUAAUAACGAACAUGGCCUGUCCUCCCAACACACACACCCACAAACACACCCAACUUACACAUCCUACACACACCCACACACACAUGCCCACAUACUGUAUACUUCAGUAAACGCCAACACCCACACACAUCCACACAUACAUAAUACCCAACUGCCACCCAAUAAACACACACACACAUACACACACACAGUGAUGGUCGCCCCCUGCUUUGAGGCCAGGCAGGGUAAUGAUUAAGUUCCUCUUGGCUCCUCUUACUGUGUGUCUGUGUGUGUGUGCCUGCCUGCGUGCUUGCGUGCGUGCGUGGAUGUGGUCAGGCCCAGUCAUCUCCCAGGCAGCUAGGAGGAAACCCACAUCAACUGAAACACACUCCAGGAAUAGGCUUACGCUUAUAUAUACACACACACACAGCGCUGGUGUCAACCCUUCUUUAUCUCUCUUCACAAUGUUUUAUAUUGUGUUCUAUAUAAACUCAUGUGACUAUUACAGCUUGUAUUUGGAUGCUUGCUGGCUUGAAGUGUUGUAGAUUUUCUAACCUACUGUAUCUAAAAAUCAAAUGGUAUUUUGCUUUUGUCAGUGGAGUUUGGACUAGUGUACAUCAGUGUGAACAGAAAAGGAUCCACUCCAAUGGCUGUAUGGUGUGUGAUUGUGCUUCCAUUGACCUUGUCCUGCUGAGUAAGACUACAGAUGUAGGAUCUUAAUUUGAUCACUCUUUUGUUGCUGAGAAUUUCCCUGCACAGCAGGAGAUGCAAACUUGUAAUGUGUUUGAGUUUAAAAAAAGCCUUCUAAAGAUUGUCUUUUCCACUUUGACAUUUCAGAUGUGAUUUACCCUAACAAAAAAUGUUUCAAACCCUAUAAAAUGUCCAUGAAUUAUAAUCCACAUAGUAAUUCACAUGUCCUGUUGCUGCAUGGUUAUUGUCCUGCGGUAGCAAACUGGCUCAAGUGAAGAUCCUACAUCUGUAGUGUCCCUCUCAACCGUAAGGCUUUGAGCUUCACUGGAAACAACUGAGCCAUUUACAUACACUUGACCACUUCUGAUAGGCCACAAUGGCAGCAUCACAUGGGUGCACGCCCACACGCCCACACACACAGCAUUAUCAAAGGAUGGAAAGAAGCAGAUAAGAUAGAAGGAUCGAGAGUGGAACAUACCCUAUCACCGUAUCACUGAUCAUGUAAACUAAGUCUAACUGGUUUAGGUCUGUUACCAUUACACACACAAACGCAGUCACACAAUACUCACGCUUUAAUGUUUUCACUGGGUUUGCAGUAUACUCCAGCUUUGCUAAUCUCGGUUAACCCAGAACUAAAUUCUCACGUAGUUGGUAAGCUGCUCGAUUAAGUUCUGGAUCCGUACGUGUUAAGAGAAGAGAGGAAGAGAUACUAGAACGAGGAGCGGAACCGGAACGAGGAGCUCCACCCUCUCUUUUUGACAGUUACAGGCCAAAUGUCCCCUCCCUUUCCGAAACUCGAAAGAUGCUAACAACUGCGAAAUCAUGAUUUGUUCGAAUAACCAAUGAUGAAAAAAAAACAAAAACACUGGAACUAAUGCUGCUCGUUAUCCCACACAUCCCAUUCCUUCCCCACAGAUUCUAACGUACCAGUUAUGUAGAUCUGUCCACGAGAGACUGACACUGUAAGUCUUGAUCAAGUUAUGAUCAGAAGGGAAACAUGAACCCCUGUCGCUGACUUGUUGCAUUGUGUGUGUUAUAGGUGUCCUGAGUGGACCAAGCCGCGGUCACCAGGGUGACCAUGCUCACCACAGCACUGUGCUGUCAGCCGCCCUGCUGACCUUUCAACUACCACCAGACAUCAGCUGUUCUAAUUCUAACAUCUGUCUACAGGUAAGACUGAACUUCAGCCCUCCGAAGUCCUAUUCCUCAGCCAAUCAGCAAGCUCUCUGGGGACUGGGCAUGCUCAGUAGCAGGGUCAGGGUUAAAAUAGUGUUCUCUUCCUGAAUUAAAAAAGAACUGAGCAUAAUUAAAAUGACUCAAAUUGACCCCAGCCCUGCUUUGUAGCUCAGUGGUGCCUCCUGCUUGCUCGCGCAAGUCAUGGAUUGAUUGAUUGGCAACAGUUGUGUUUAGCCCUCCUCUUUCAUUCCCUUCUCUCUCUCUCUCUCUCUCUCUCUCUCUCUCUCUCUCUCUCUCUCGCUCUCGCUCUCGCUCUCUCUCUGUGGAAUGUACCGGGUCCUUCUCAAUUCAUUCAUGUGGAUCCAGGAAGCGCAUUCCUCCCCACAGCCCCAGGCCAUGCUCCACCACCCUACCACACAUACAGUACACAGUCCACUGCCCAGUAGUCACUAUUGGCCAUGCUAAAAAGUACAGAAGUGACAAUAUCAUCCGAAGUUUGGCUCGUCCCAUUGCCUAGUUGAUCUAGUGAUCUCACUGCCACCACCUCCGACUGAUGUGGCACUACUUUCCUCUCUACAGCAGUCAUCACCAAUGUCAGCCCUGCAUCACAUACUCAACCCACUCAACAACUCUCUCUGUCUCUCUCUGUCUCUCAGUCAACACUGCAACUCCUACGUCAGUCUUGACAUGGGACUCAAACUCACUGAACUCAUUGAACUCUCAACAAUAAUGUCAUCACCAGCCAAAACACUCCAAGAGCACACAAUUCUAGAAGGAGAAAGGGCCCUAGUUUUGGGCCACAAAGAUUGCUAGAAUCAAAAAUAGAGAGAGAGAGAGAGAGAGAGAGAGAGAGAGCUAGUUGAGUAGAGUACUAGACUGCUAUGUUUGAUCAAUAUGGUCAUGCGGCUUCAGGUAUGCAGAGGCAAAACUGGACAGAGGACAAGAGGGAGAGCCCAGCAUACAUACCCCUCCAUCCUCCAUGUGUCCAUUCCUCCCCUAGAUUCCCCUCUUUCCUCCCUCUUUUCGCACAGUAUGCAUCCUUCCAUCUCUCCCUCUCCAUGUUCUGAUCUGCCUCUCCAUUUGUUCAUCCAUCUCUCAAUAUCUCUCUCCUCUUUACUCUCCUUCACUCUAUUCCUUCCCAUGUCCUCUCCUCUUCUUUCCUCCCUCCCCCACUUCGAUUAGGUGGUUGAGUUUUCCCUGGAGGGAAUUAUGUAUGAUAUUACGGUAAAUAACUGCCAUGAUAAUCUCAUACAGAUUUGUCCACAUAUGACUUAUUUUGUAUGGUACUCGUGGAGGGUAAGCUGAUCCUAGAUCAGUAUUAAAGUUUGUAUCUAAUGGUUCAGGUUAGGAUUUGGAGAGGGUAAGCUGAUCCUAGAUCAGUAGUAAAGUUUGUAUCUAAUGGUUCAGGUUAGGAGUUGGAGAGGGUAAGCUGAUCCUAGAUCAGUAGUAAAGUUUGUAUCUAAUGGUUCAGGUUAGGAGUUGGAGAGGGUAAGCUGAUCCUAGAUCAGUAGUAAAGUUUGUAUCUAAUGGUUCAGGUUAGGAUUUGGAGAGGGUAAGCUGAUCAGUGCCUAGAGCAAAGUGCCUAAAGGAAACUUCUCCCUAAAAGAGAAUGCAAGUGUGGCAUCAGAGUCACUGUGGAGCUGACAUGACAGUGGCUGCUGCCUCCAGUUGCCCCAGGCCUAAUGGGAAAGAAUGUCAGGAAUCUGAAACUGAUAAUGCCAUGCUUAGAGAUAACUAUAGAGAGAUCAUUCCCAUAUCCUUCCCUCCCCUCACCCCAUCUUCUCUGUCUGUUCUGUCUCUCCCUCGUCACCCUUCUCCUCUUCCUUCCCCCCUCCCCUCUCCUCUCACCCCACCCUCUCUCUGUCUCUCACCCCAUUCCCUCUCCUUGUUUCUUCUCCUCCCUCCCCCUUCCUUCUCCUCUCUCUUAAUAGCUGCAGUCAAUGUUGCCUUAUUGAUUCCUUACCCAAUAAUGACCAUCUCUUUCUCCCACUUUCUCUCUUUCUCUCUCUAACCAGAAUGGACCCAAUGAUCAUAUGAGGAUGAAGACCAUGAUGAAGGCAAUGCAAAUUCAUCAACGUGGAUCCUUUAUCUAUAUCUGCAGCCCCCCCCGCCUGUAUUUGUGUGUGGGUCAAUUGCUCAGUAGGCAGUGUAGAUCCUGUGUAAUUAUCAGCAGCUACAUCUGGCUACUGGGUCUCUGAACACACGCCACUGCCCACUUCCUACUUCCGGCCUGGUGGUACAUCCCAUUACCAACUGAUUGGCUAAUUGCACAUUCAAUUUCUCUCUGAUUGUCUAGUAUGUUAUCAUAUGGGCUGUUACAUCUCAUGACAGUACAGGAUGCUCUCUAUGCCUAUGCUUGUCAUUUCCCCCAAAAAUCUGAAUAUUUUUUUCUCUCUCUUCUCCUCUCAAUUAUUUUCUCCCUCUGCACCGUCCUUGGCGAGAACCAUUCAAACUCUUCUUGGUAUUCUUCUCUGAAUUGUGCUGUUUUCUAAAAGAGAGAAAAGAGAAUUGACGAGAGCAGAAAAAAAGCGAGCCAGAGUUGAAGGAAAUGUCAAAUGUGUCAGGCACAAUAGCACAGAGCCUUUAAGAGAGGAGAACAUUGUUUAGGAUGUGAUGCCUGCCGUUUCCAUAGAAAUAUGUCUAUAGAGAACAGGCAAGAUGAAAUGUCACAUUCUCUCUAUGAUCACUCAGUCAGAGACAGUGUGCGCGUGGGUGGGUGUGUGUGUGUGACAGCUGACGAGACAUCUUUGCUUGGUCCUGGACCUAGCAUACAAUGUAGAUUUCUGUGUGGUUUAAACUACAGCUACAUUGUCUGCUGGGUUUCAGGCUGGCAACAAAAGCAGCCUUCAACAGCUAAAUGAUUCAAUAACUCAACGAAUCAAAUCUUCGAUAACUCAACGAAUCAACUCUUCAAGAACUAAACGAUUCUACUCUUCAAGAACUCAACGAAUCAACUCUUCAAGAACUCAAUGAGGUAAGUUCACAUUCAUUCCGCCACUGUGUCAAAUGUUUCACCUUAAAAAUACAAUGAAAUGUCAUAUCUUUUAAUAAACAUCUAGAAAAGUAUAUGGUCGUGCGACUGGUUUUUCAUAUGAAAGUGUGAAGUGUUUUCAGUUUAUUUUUUUAAGUGUUAUUUUAUAGGGAAAUAUCACAUUGGGAAAAAACUAUAUUUGGCUUGACAAUGACAUCACUGGAGUAGGUAAGAGUACAAACAGAGCUGGGACCAGCUGGAGAGAAUCUAGAUGGAGUCUACAGGGGCAAUUUAUUUCUCUAGAAAUGAUUUGUAUUUAGAAUAAAUACCUGUAUAAAAUAACUCAAAGCCAGACAUAUACUGAUACUUAACAUGUCUAGCCACAGUUGUUUAAAUUUCCCGUUAUGGAAAAAACACAUUAAUUUCACAUGUGAACACGUGAUCUCAGGUGAUCAUGUGAUUUAAUGUGAAGCUAAUGACACUAUACGUUACAACAUUUGAGCACGUGAAAGCCCAGGUGUCAAAUUUUAUUUAAAAUAUUUUACUUUAAAAGGCAUAAUUUACAUUAUUACAUUUAAACAGUCAUGGUUCCCUGCAGGUUUUAUAUAGCUCCCGGUUUGUUCCAGGGACGUCCCCAAGGACGCUUUUAGGACGUUCUCUGAACAUUGUGUUAUGGUCCGGUGGAGUUUUUUUUCUAGCUGCUGUAAAAAUACAAAAAGUUCCGUGUUUUUACAGCAGAAUUAAGGUAUUAAUGGACAGUAUACUGCUAUAUACUGAUUACUUGGGACUCAACCUCCCUUGGGAUUUAUACUCUCAACCUCUUGGCUGCUAGCCACCUGAAGUUUCUGCUGCUCCACCAGGUCUGUGGACACAAUGGAGAUUCACAAUAUAUUUAUUGCCAAGAAUAGAUUUCUUGCAGUAAAAAUAAAGUAAAAAUGUACAGCAACUUUAAGGUGUUAUUUUUAUAAAAUGACAUUAUGCUGCUGUAUUCUGAUUUCAGUUACUGUAAAAUUGUCUGUAAUUUUGUACUGUGACCACAAUUGUGACUCAGCUUUAAAGAUGCACAAUGCAGAAAUCGCUCCACAAUUUCCUGGUUGCUAAAAUUCUAAUAGUUCGCCUGAUUUCAGUUUAUGUGACAUAACAAGCAAGUAUAGUGUAGAGAAUCGUUGUACCAUCCAAACGCUGUGAAAUAUAUUUUCCAUAACCCAAAAUAAUGUGUUUGAAGCUGGUGUACAAAACCAAAAGACGCAAGAACAAAAACUAAGAACGGGAAGCAUAGAAAUAGAUCUACCGCUUCUUAGACUUGCUUUCAAUGAAAAUGACAGACCUAUAACACACAUUUCUAUGUGAAUUUGGUCAAGUCGCCCCCAAAAUUAUAUAUUGCAACUGAAAUGGGAUUUGAGCUCAUAAACUCUUGGUCGUUAGCAGCCUGAAAUGUCUUGCUACAGUGCAGCUACACCACCAGAUCUGUGAGCGUGAAAGAGAUACUGUAUGAUCACAGACAUUGGCAAGAAUGCAUUUCUGCACUUUACUGAAAGCUGCACAGAACCAAGUAAAUAAUGUCCAAUUAUCACCACCAACAUAGCAGUCCUCAAGGACACAUAACAUAGAGUAUACAUUUACGCCUUUGGGAUUUGAACUUGCAACUUCUUGGUUGGGGCGCAGUUAAUGUUUCUGCAAUGCCACUAAGUUUAUACUUAUUGCUUGGAACAUACAAUAUAUUAACACACUCUCAAAAAAUAAGGGUAUGGCUAGGGUACACUACAAUGUUGUUUCCUGGGUUACAAAAAGGUCAAAGGUACACUUCACUGGUACAUACACUACAUGACCAAAAGUAUGUGGACACCUGCUAGCCAAACAUCUCAUUCCAAAACCAUGGCCAUUAAAAUGGAGUUGGUCCCCCCUUUGUUGCUAUAACAGCCUCCACUCUUCUGGGAAGGCUUUCCACUAGAUGUUGGAACAUUGCUGCGGGGACUUGCUUUCAUUUAGCCACAAGAGCAUUAGUGAGGUCGGGCACUGAUGUUUGGCGAUUAGGCCUGGAUUGCAGUCGGCGUUCCAAUUCAUCCCAAAGGGGUUCAAUGUCGUUGAGGUCAGAGCUCUAAGCAGGCCAAUCGAGUUCUUCCACACUGAUCUCAACAAACCAUUUCUGUAUGGACCUCGCUUUGUGCACGGGAGCGUUGUCAUGCUGAAACAGGAAAGGGCCUUCCCCAUACACUUGCCACAAAGUUUGAAGCACAGAAUCAUCUAGAAUGUCAAUGUAUGCUGUGGCAUAAAUAUUUCCCUUCACUGGAAUGAAGGGGCCUAGCCCAAACCAUGAAAACCAGCCCCAGAGCAUUAUUCCUCCUCCACCAAACUUUACAGCUGGCAGGUAGCGUUCUCCUGGCAACCGCCAAAUCCAUAUUCAUCCGUCAGACUGCCAGAUGGCAAAGCAUGAUUCAUCAAUCCAGAGAGCACAUUUCCACUGCUCCAGAGUCCAAUGGCAGCAAGCUUUACACCAUUCUAGCGACGCUU
rnacentral:lncRNA from 1 species